GCUUGAUGCGCCCCUCUCGCCACAUUGUCCCAAAAGCAAUGCUGGUUGUCAGUGAGCGUGCCCUUGGAAAAGUUCAUGUUACGAAGAAAAUUGUCCUCAGAUGCCAUUGGGGAAUGUGCAAUUCUGAUGAAAGAUGUCCUGCUAGGAUACAAGGGGUCCAGUUGAUUCAUUUUCCAAAGCCUAAAACACAGUUGAGGAAGUGUCUACGAUGGAUUAAGGCCUGCGGAAGACCGCACGUACAACUAAAUGUGGACAAUUAUCAACAAACACAAGGCUGUAUCUUCAAAGUACUUUCUUUGCCCUGGGCCCAAAGAAAGACAGCGGUACAACUAGCAGGAAAGGAAAAGGAAAAUUGUGCAAACCACAGUGGUUUUAAGAUGACGACAACUAAGGCCUGAUGAGCUGUUCCUGCAAUCUGUCAGCACCUGAUCAACGGAGUGGUGUCUGCCAUAACUGCAGAUACAUGACAAACUUCAUGGACACCAUCAUGUGCGCGGGAGUAUUUGUUUAUCUCAUGUAUCUGUAGCUAAAUAUGAACCUAGCAUAUUCUGAUAGAAAAUCAGUGCAUCCCAUUGUCUUGACCUAUUCCUACACGUCACAUAAUAUUCAUUAGUUUUGUUAGCAUUAACUAAUUAAGAACAGCUUGCAUAUCUACAGCCACUAUUUAUCCACCAUCUUUUUUGUUUCUGGUUUGACAAUAGGAUAAAUGCUCCCAUUGGAGGGUCAAACUAGUUCGUGUGAGUCUUUCCCGUAAAUCGACAAAGACUCUUGUCUAAUUGUAAACAUAGAAUACUCCUGUGCUCCACAAACACUGAAUAGACUUGAAAACCCUUAACUACUGCUUUCAAUAUUCAACAGAAGGUUAAGGUUGUAUUUAGCUGACAUCACAAUCUGACUGCCAAGCCCACAGAAGACUUGUUCCUCAA